GAGUAACACGUAGGCAACCUGCCUUCAGGACGAGGAUAACUCCGAGAAAUCGGGGCUAAUACUCGAUAAUGCAGCGGCACCGCAUGGUGACAGUUGUUAAAAGCCCCCAAAGGGUGCCUGAAGAUGGGCCUGCGUCCCAUUAGGUAGUUGGUGAGGUAACGGCCCACCAAGCCGACGAUGGGUAGCUGGUCUGAGAGGAUGAUCAGCCACACUGGAACUGAGACACGGUCCAGACUCCUACGGGAGGCAGCAGUGAGGAAUAUUGCGCAAUGUCCGAAAGGGUGACGCAGCGACGCCGCGUGGAGGAUGAAGGCCCUAUGGGUCGUAAACUCCUUUUGAGGGGGAAGAAUAGUUCGCUACAGGCGGAUUUGACGGUACCCCUAGAAAAAGCACCGGCCAACUACGUGCCAGCAGCCGCGGUAAUACGUAGGGUGCAAGCGUUGUCCGGAAUCACUGGGUGUAAAGGGAGCGCAGGCGGGUUAGUAAGUCGUUGGUGAAAUCCUUGAGGCUUAACCUCAGGACUGCCAAUGAUACUACUGAUCUUGAGUGCAGAAGAGGAAGACGGAAUUCCUGGUGUAGCGGUGAAAUGCGUAGAUAUCAGGAAGAACACCGGUGGCGAAGGCGGUCUUCUGGUCUGUAACUGACGCUCAUGCUCGAAAGCGUGGGGAGCAACAGGAUUAGAUACCCUGGUAGUCCACCGCCUAAACGAUGGAUACUCGAUGUCGGGUCGCAAGGCCGGUGUCAAGCUACGCGUUAAGUAUCCACCUGGGAGUUCGAUCGCAAGUUGAACUCAAGGAAUUGACGGGGGCCGGACAAGCAGUGGAGCUGUGUUCAUUCGAUGCAACGCGAAGAACCUUACCUGGUUUGACAUCCUGCGAACCCCUGAGAAAUCGGGGGGUGCCUUCGGGAACGCAGUGACAGGUGGUGCAUGGCUGUCGUCAGCUCGUGUCGUGAGAUGUUGGGUUAAGUCCCGCAACGAGCGCAACCCACGUCUUUAGUUGCCAGCAUUCAGUUGGGCACUCUAGAGAGACCGCCGGUGAUAAAGUCAAGUCCUCAUGGCCUUUAUGUCCAGGGCUACACACGUGCUACAAUGGCGGCACAAAGGGUUGCAAUAUCCGUCGAGGUAGAGCUAAUCCCAAAAAGUCCGUUUUUCAGUUGCGAUGCGAGUUA
rnacentral:rRNA from 1 species